GAAGAAAUCUAGAUAGUUUGAUUGAGAUUUUGGGGGAGUUAGGGACGAUGUAGUCCUAUAGAAUCAUCCUUGACCUGAGACAAUGAUACCUGCUGGAGUCUCUGUCGUUCAGACCAGUUUGAAUCCCAACAGAACCAAACAUGUUUCCACUUUUUUGCUCCCACUUUGUCUGUAUCCUCCUAACUAACACUCCUCUGUCCUCACCUCCUUUACACCACCUUCUUCCUCUUCCACUCCACAUCUGCUCGUUGAACAUGAACUGAUGCUUGACAAUUAUUAUCAGAAGAAAAAAGUUUUAUUUCUAUAACUUUAUCAUCGAAAAUACAUAUGGUCUUGUAUAGUUUAAUUGAGUGAAAAUAUAAAGGUUGGUGAUCAGUUCUGUGUCAAUUAAAUCAAUUCAAAUAGAAAUUGCAAAGUAGGUAACUGAUGACGGAUGAUUCAUGUUUGGUUUAGUGCUCUAAACUUGUGUUACACUUUUGAAGAGCUACCAAACUAGAAUAUCCCAUGAAAAUGUAAUAUUUACAAAGUCAAAACAGCAUCUGUCCAGUGGGCAAAUUGGAGCAAAUUCAUAGAUUCUGUAAGAAUGUCAGGACGUUUGUCUUUAAACUACAGUACCAAUAUUGUUACAUGCAGUGUUUCAAAACAUAAUGAUACUCCUUUCAUCAGGGAGCCGAACUCAAUCUUGAAGUGAUUGAAUUGAAUCCAAAUUGGUGCCAGCCUCUAAAAUACUGUACUAUGAUUAACACUCCCCAAAUGCAAAGUAAUGGAAUAACUGAAGGCAGCUCAAAUUGAGUACUGAAUUGUGAGGUCAUAAUUGAAUCUGUUGUUAAGUUAGUUUGAAACAUAUAAAAGCAGCAAGGUGAUAAAGUUAGAAGGUAGUUGUACUGAAGCAGUUAGUGUUUGUGUCAUUGAAGGGAGGAAAUCUGCACUUUUGCAAAAGCAGCAGCAGCAGCAGCAGCAGGCCGGGGAUGAAGUGAUUCACUGUAUGGAGAGAGAGAGAGAGAGAGAGAGAGAGAGAGAGAGAGAGAGAGAGAGAGAGAGAGAGAGAGAGAGAGUAGUUUACACCUCUGCACUGUUUCCUUUCUCAUCAGUUUUUCUGUUGUUGGCGUCUUGAUCUGAUUUGUGUCGUCUGUUUUCCUCCUAUCUGUCUGUCUGUCUGC
rnacentral:lncRNA from 1 species